AUUUUUAAAGUUUAAGAUGUAAACAAUACAUUUUCAAUGUAUAGAGUGAUUAUAAAUCUAAAAAUU
rnacentral:tRNA from 2 species